CUGCAGAUAUAGUAGAAACAGCAAGAGAACUAGAAUUAGAAGUAGAACCUGAAGAUGGAACUGGAUCGCUGCCAUCUCAUGAUAAAACAUGAACGGAGGAGGAGUUAUUUCUCAUACUGGGCAAAGAAAGUGGUUUCUUAAGACGGAAUCUAGACCUGGUGAAGAUGCUAUGAAAAUUGCUGAAGUGACAACAAAGUAUUUAGAAUAUCGUAUGAACUUAUAUGAUAAUGAGAGAAUUGACUCCAAUUUUGAAAGAAGUUCUACUCUGGGUAAAAUGUUAUCAAACAGCAUCACAUGCUAUGGAGAAAUCAUUUGUGAAAGGAGUGCACGGAUAUGGCAAACUUCACUGCUAUCUUAUUUUAAGAAAUUGCCACAGCCACUCAUCCUUUGGCUACUACCAUCCUGAUCAGUCAACAGCCACCAACAUCCAGUCAAGACACUCCACCAGCAAAAAGGUAAAAGGAGUUGUCCCAGUGAGGAUACACACAUAUGUAUGUAUACGUUUAAACCAUGAUCCAGUUUGAGGUAAUAUUUCUGAAUGUGCAGUGGCGUGUUUUGAGGUAGGUAUUUAAUUUCUUUCUUUUGCAUGUGGGUGUCUGUUGUAAUUUUAACACAGGUAAAUGGUGCUCAGCAGGGAAGUGAUUGCCUUAUUUGAGAUCACCAGAGGUCUUUAAUUCUCUCAAUAAGAACUAUAGUCAUAGGAUGACAUAGGAUUGACAUUAUGAUGGGUCAGUAAAAGAUCAACAGGGAAAACACUUAGGCUUUAUGUACCAUUUUAUAUCCUGUGUCAAAUUCAUUUAUUUAAAAAAAAAAGUUCUUAGGACAGGUUGCGGCUUGCUUAUUUUGCAAAGUUAUAGAAACUCUAAUGCUCUAAGGACUUAGAGCACAGCUGGAAUAGAAACCUUUUCUUUCUAAGUCACUUCUUUGUCAGGAUGCUAGGAAAAACUCAUUUGGCUAUUCCUGUAGCAAGCCCAGAAUUCAGAAAGUUUUAGCUCCUCAGAUGGCAAGAAGAAAACUUCACAGCAAGCAAGAAUAAAAGUGAAAGUAAGUGUUAUUUUGACUGCUUUGGAAAGGUAUGUUUAUUUAGUAGUUCUUAUCUUUGUUUUUCUCCAGGGCUUAUGAUGCAAGCACUUAAGUUCAAAUCAAAGGAAUUAAGCCUUUUGCCAUGGAGAUUUAAAAGGGUCCAACUCUGUGCUCCCAGAAAGGACAAUGAAUCUUCUUAAAGGAAAUGCAUGUCUAUUAAGAGAAUUUUAAUGUUUUUUUUUCCUUUCAGUUAAGAGCAGCAUCAGAACUGGGAAUUGAAGGUGCCAAAUUUUGAAGAAAGAGGCUAAUGACAUUUGGAUGGUACAAAAUUAACUAUUGAAACAAAAAGCAUAUUAAAUAAAGUUUAGUAUAUAAAAGGUAAAAGUGGUCAGUACAAAUCAUCAAUGCCCAGGUCAUUUAAAAUAACUUCUAUGGGUACUAUUUGGUGGAACAAUUCCACAUGAA